UGACGUACUGGGAUGCGCCAGGCGCCGGAUGUAGGUUCGUCUUCUCUUAGUUCCGGCUCGGACUGGGGAGUCCGUUUGUUAUUUUAGGUGUGGGCUCAGUCCAGCGAAUCCUGAGGUUCCCAGGGUGCUGGGUGGCGGAAGGAACCAGGUUUAAUACAGAAUUCUUCCUAGAGGCUGGUUCUCAGAAUUUGGUCCCAGCACCAUCAGCAUUGCCUGGUGUUUAUUUUUUACAGUAAUUUAUAAUUUAUUGCCAAAAUAAUGCAUUAUAAAUACAUACUUUCAACACCCACCGCAGACCUUUGAAUCAGAAACGUUGAAGAUGGGUGCAGCAGCCUAUUUCAUCAUUUCCAGCUCAUCAGCAUUAUUGAUUUCAGAUUCACCAUGAAGAGAAAACUGUAAAACUGAUACUAAGAAAGUGAUUCUCUGAACUUAGAGACCAACUUGAACCAGGAAAGAUGGAACCUGUGGAAAGAUUUGGCUCACCACGCUGAACAGGUGUGAGUCGUGAUUAAUUUUGAAGAGAUGCCUCUGUGCCACCCCCGCCUCAGCUGUCCUCUCAAACAUCCCUGCUCUUGCUGCCACUCCACCUUCUAUCUUCCAGAGCUGGGUGGGUACAGAGCCGGAGUCAGGUGCCUCCAUCAAGUGAGUGGGUGAUGCUUGUCUGAGUCCUGCUGAGCGAGCCAGUGCUGUGUGACUCACCUUCCGUGAUAUCAGUAAAGCUCCAAGCCUCUUGCCUGGGAAUUGACAAAGGAGACUCUAUUCUGAAUAUGUCACUGUUUGAAUCUUUAAAUGUAAUCCAAUUACCAGUCAACUGACAAACAUUCUCCAUAUUCUUCAGGUUGUUUCUAAUCUAGCCUGGCUGGAUUUUAUUGGGUUUAUGUGUGUUAGCUUUGAGAAGGAAUGGAAAAGCCUGCUUCUCUGAGAUGAUCAUUAAGUACCACCCCCUCCCUCGUCCCCCACCACAGCUCGGGUAGAGCAGAAAGGUGAUCUCACAGGGUUUUUCCACACAAUUAUUCUGAUUUUUAAAACACAAGUAUGUGAAAGCCCCAAUCAUUGC
rnacentral:lncRNA from 1 species